GCAUAACGCGAAGAACCUUACCAGGCCUUGACAUCCCUGGAACCCCCGAGAGAUCGGGGGUGCCCUUCGGGGAACCAGGUGACAGGUGCUGCAUGGCUGUCGUCAGCUCGUGUCGUGAGAUGUUCGGUUAAGUCCGGCAACGAGCGCAACCCUCGCCAUUAGUUGCCAGCAGUUCGGCUGGGCACUCUAAUGGGACUGCCCGUGAAAGCGGGAGGAAGGCGGGGAUGAUGUCUAGUCAGCAUGGUCCUUACGGCCUGGGCGACACACGUGCUACAAUGGCCGGUACAGCGCGUCGCCACCUCGCGAGAGGGAGCUAAUCGCGAAAGCCGGUCCCAGUUCAGAUCGCAGUCUGCAACUCGACUGCGUGAAGUUGGAAUCGCUAGUAAUCGCGGAUCAGCCAUGCCGCGGUGAAUACGUUCCCGGGUCUUGUACACACCG
rnacentral:rRNA from 1 species